rnacentral:rRNA from 1 species
AACGAACGCUGGCGGCAGGCUUAACACAUGCAAGUCGAACGCACCUUUCGGGCUGAUUUGCAGACGUGUGAGUAACGCGUGGUGAUUUACACUUGUCUACCGGAUAGUUCCGUGUAACUUGAAUUAAUACAGUAUACGUUCUUAGCGGGUAAGAUUUAUCGGGGCAUGAUGAGCGCGCGUUGGAUUAGCUGGUUGGUGGGGUAAAGGCAUAUCAUGGCGACGAUGCAUAGCUGGUCUAAGAGGAGGAUCAACAACAUUGGGACUGAGACACGGACCACAAUCCUACGGAAGGGAGGAGUAGGGAAUAUUGGAGAAUGGACGCAAGCGCGAUCAAGCCAUGCGGGGUGAGAGAUGAAGGCGGUAGGAUUGUAAAGCUGUUUCAGAGGAAACGAGAAUGACGGUACCCACAGAAGAAGCCCCGGCUAACUUCGUG